ACGAGCAAGUAGGGAAGGAUUUGGUUAUCAAAGCAGAGGACUUAGAUUCAAAAGUAAUCGACAGAAGGAGAUUACUUCAGCUCAUAGUCCAGACAAGGGCUCUAUCUCAAUAAAUUAGGCCACCCUCUCCUACAAACACAAGCAUCUCCAUGUGUGUUACCAGGUUCAUCCAGGGACAAGGAGACGAUGCCAUUACUUUGCUGCCAACCUGGCCAAACAGCAGGUUUGCUAAAGCCCAGCUUUCAAGAAUAUUAAUAAAAAUAAACAAUUUUACCCUUUCUGGUCUUGCUUAUAGCAGGCUGCUAAUAAUGCCUUAUGAAGCUGCUACACAGUUCAAUCAAUAGUUUGAUUUUUCUGCCCUAGUGCUGCCACAAACACAAACCGCACGCUAAACCGGCUAAGCAAGGAGCUGGCCACAGAGACAGCUGGAGCCAGAGAAGGGGAGAUGCAGGACGUGGUGCCUUGUGACUUCUAGGAAACUUGGGCACGGACUGCUCCUGCCGAGCCCCAUCCGCCAUGGCCACUGCCGCAUCCUGCUGCACCCAUGGAUCCACCUCAGUGCCCGAGUCAGAGUUCCUAAUGCACUGGAAGUUCUGCUUCAAAAUGAACAUAUUUGCCACUAACUUUUCUACAAAUACCUGGAUGCAUUGCUUGGACACAGGUAAGCUUGGCCAAGUUCAUCAUUAUUCUCUCCCUGAGACCAGGAUGUCCAACAAAGGCAUUCCAGCUGCCAGGUGUCACAUCAGCCACCCUAUGACUUGUGACGAGUUUGAGCGCAGUAACACCUCCGGAACAGGUACCUUCAUUGCAAAGGCAGAGUUGAGACAUUCCCUAAACCUCAUCUGGAUACAAAUCUUCAGAGAGUGCAGGUAACAGAGUGGUUUGAUGAUCAGCUGGUGUUUCUGGAGCAUGAUUUUCCCUUGAAGCCUGGGUGAGUAGUGAAUAUGAAUUACCAAUGGUCUUUUUUUUUCCCCUCAUAAUAUAUUAAAGAAAAUUUAUAUAUAUUAUAGAAAAUUUAUAUAAAUUAUUAUUAUUAUUUAACUAUUUUAUCACUUUAGAGACUGCCAACUGAUAGCUUUCAGCUAUGCAAGGCUCAGGCAGGUUAGACCUAGGGAAGCAGAAAAUCACUUGAUGCUCAUAUCAAGGUUGUACAGACCUUUCGUCUGUCACUGCCUUUGUUUGCUUUUUUUGUUUUUAUGCAACUAGGUAACGUAGCUGGGCCCAGCUCCAUGCCUGUUGUCUUGGGCAUGACUGCACUGCAACCAGAAAAUCAUUACAGCCAGAAAAUCAGCUCUCGGUGCAUGCAAGUUUCUGCUGUCUGUUUGAAAGAGAGUUGAAGCACUUGUGGAGGUUUAAUCGAAAUCUGAAUACAUGUGACUGAAAUUGGCUCUCCGUGAUUAUUUAUACAAGUAAAUCUCUGCUUCUCACAAAUUCCCAGAAAUCAAAUGCCAGCCUUGUAUGAUCAUUUUUUAAAGGAGUAAAUAUUUGUUGAAAAAUCCUUUGCUGUAUUAAUUUUACUCUGCCGUCUCUCAGGCAGCCCUGAUAGGGAUGGAGAGACUCUGGUGUGCAUCAAUCAGCCUACGGAAGAGGGACAAAAAUAGCUCAUUACUUGGUCCAUAAAGAGUUAUCCUCAGCAUGAAAUGCAAACUUUUCAGGUAGCCAGGCAAAGCUCCUAAAAUAGCUUGUUUUCCCCAUAUGUCUGCAUACCCAGCUAAAAUCUUCCAGGAAAUGAUCCCUAUUUCAACACUAGGUACAUCAGGUACAGGUAUUUUAAGCAGGAGGUAGUUUAAGCAGAGUGCUGCAUAUUUCCAUGUUUUCCUAACCCCCACUUGAAAGCACAUUUGCCAGUAAGUGGUUUGUAAGUUUACAGUCAGCCAUCACUACUUUUUCAGUGCUGUGUAAUGUUGUCAGUCCCUGUUGCUGACCUUUUUUUUUUUUUUCCUUUACUUUCUCUCUUUCUCUUUUUUUUUUUGGCUUUUUUUUUUUUUUUGGUAACCCUUUUACCUUCUUUUUCCCUGCUCAGACCCAUUAGCAGGAUGUUGUGCAAUAUGGUGCUUGUCAUCUGUUUCAAAGACACAGUGAUGAGAUACAGGUAUGCCAGAUGGAUAAACCUAGUGUGACUAAUUAUUGUGUAUUUGCCUUUAAUUAUUAUCAUUUAUUACUAGAGAAAAGACAAUAGAGGUUCCCAGACUCGGAAGGGAAUGUCGGCAGAAGGGGAAUUUUUUUCCCUUUACUUUUUUUUUUUCAAGAGACUGGCACAUCAGCAAGAAAAGUUUUCUUCCUGGGGAAAAAUACAAGCAAACAUCAAGACCAGAGGAAUCAACAUGACCCAUGCAAUACUCUCCUUUCCCUGACACAUACUUGAGGAUCAGAUAUCUCACAGGUGGGCGGUUCUCUUCCCUGGACACCUUCCUGUCUCCCUCUCCUGAUGCCUUGUGUUCACAGAAGAUAGCUCACUACUGCGGCCCCUUUUCCAAAAACAGUCUUGAGAAGGAGAGACGGAUUCAGCUGUCCUCACAGACCUGUUUUACAGCUCUUCUGCCUUCCACUUCAGUAUCCAUUGCCUUUUGGUUAUGCACAAAAAAAGGCCAAAAUACAUCACAAAACACAUUAUUUUUCCAAAUAGUGGCUACACAAAGUGGCCUUGUACGUCUUAUAUGGUGCAUGGAGGUAUUCCAUAUUCCAUGUUUUUUUGCUUUAUGCUGGCUUCAGUGAUGCCAGCUAGGUUCCUAACUGGCUUUUACUGUAGAAGCAAUGCCUCAGGGAAGCCUUGCCCUUUUCAUGUGUGACAUUAGCAAAAUUGGUGUCUUUGAAAUGGUCGUUUGCAAUCAUGCAAAGCUGCUCCAUUCCUCCUACAAAUGUCCUUCUUCCUUUCCACCACUCAUUUCCUCACCAGCUCCUCCUAAUUAUGGGACAAACUUUUCUCCAUUUUUCUCUGAUAUCAGUUUACUUCUCAACAUUCUCAGAGUUCCUGAGUAUGUUUAUGUUCCUUGUGACUUGCAGUGGCCUUGUGUUGAUGUUGCUUCAGGUAGAUAAGCAGUGGAGAGAAAAUAAAUGGGUUGAGGAACUCUGGGAACAAUAGUGGGAUUUGUAAGAGGGGGGACAGGCAACAAAGGACAAGAAUGGGGGAAGGGGAGUUGUUUGGUCCUUAAAAACCUUUGGUCGUCACUCCCAUACUAAUGGAAUGUGACCAUUAGAGAACUUUCUUUUCUUCAGAUUCACACUGAACACUGUAAAAUACUCAUUCAUAUACAGAUACUGCCAGCUUAUUCUUCUCCAGGUAGUUUAAAAAAUGUCUCAUGAUUACAAACAUAUGAUCCAGAACUGAUAGCAUGUAAUACAAGCUCUGUUGUCGGAGAGGAUGCCCAGAUCUCUGGAAUUUUAAGAACUAGAACAAAUUCCACCAUGUUGUGGAUCAAAUAAUGAAAAAGUCAUCUGUUCAAAGAGCAGCGGAUACAGGAUUACUUACAGAUUUUAUACAUCUAGAUUUGGCUAGUUACAAUCAUAUAGACAUCUCCCAACAAGGUCUUUGUCCCCUGCUCACCAAAAGGGCCAAUAGUAAGAACUAUAUUAUAACGCAAAAGGUCUUUUCCUAGGAUGGGGCUGAGCAUUGAAUAUCAACAAAUUUUACCAACGAUAGAGCUUAUUUUCCAGGUAUCUGUCAGUGUAUUAUUCAUCCACAUGAACAGCACGAGCUUCUGAACCCACAGGAUUCUGUGAACAAGGUUGUAAUGGAGGACUGCACUCCUGUGUGCGGCGGGGCUGCUCUCAGAGAUGAGCUUUGGCUGCGUACCCGAGUCUGGGUUGUCACAUAAACCAAUUAUUAGAUGGAGGGAUAUGUAGAUAAGUAAAUAAUCAUCUUAACGUUAUCAGCAACUGCCAGGUUAGGAGAGGUAACACAUCAGUAUGAGACGUGACUAAAUGCAACUGUCUGGUACCCUCCCAAGACACAUAGCAAACACCAUCCUUUCCUUGGUGGCAGAAAGCACCCAGGCUCAUAACUAAAGAAUGAACUUUUCAAAGAGAUUGGGUUGUCUUUCCAAGUUACCUUUAUUUUCAGUUACUCCUCAUUAGUCGCCUUCCUUUUUUGUGUCUACUUUUCUCGACACAUCUUGCAGUUUCUUGCUGCUUCAUCCUUUCUGUUUUCCUCGCCAUCUAACCUUAGAGCAUUCCUCUCUUUCUUUCUCUCUGAAAAUCUGCGUGCUGGUAUUUUCCAUGAAUCCAUCUGCAUUGAAUUAUUUAUAGAUACAAUAAAGUCUGCUUUUGUCUAAUGUUUAUUUUCUUUAAUAACAAGAAACAUGGGGAAAAUGUUCCAAAGAACCAAAAAAGGACUUGACUUUUCCUGGACGCUAGGCAACAGUAGCCAAAAAGUACAAAACAAGCCGUAGGAUGUUCGUAAGAUGCCUUCUAAAAAUAAUAAUCUUAGUAUGUUGGUAUCUAAUGCGCUUUUUGCAUUUGUUGUAUUUCCCAAAUCUAGGCCUUGGUUAUAAUGCUGUCGUGUCCUCCUAAAGGCUCUAAUGGACAAUGAGUUACUGUGGAGGCAAUCAGGAACAAUAAGCAGACGGAUUACUGCUGGUGGAUCUCUGGCCACAUCUCUGCUACCUGUUUUCUUUGUCCUAAGUGUUUUAAAUAGGUCAUGGAGGUC